rnacentral:rRNA from 1 species
GGGCACCCCAUGUAAGGUGGGGGAAACAGUUGGAAACGACUGCUAAUACCGCAUAAUGUCUACGGACCAAAGGGGGCUUCGGCUCUCGCCUUUAGAUUGGCCCAAGUGGGAUUAGCUAGUUGGUGAGGUAAUGGCUCACCAAGGCGACGAUCCCUAGCUGGUUUGAGAGGAUGAUCAGCCACACUGGGACUGAGACACGGCCCAGACUCCUACGGGAGGCAGCAGUGGGGAAUAUUGCACAAUGGGCGCAAGCCUGAUGCAGCCAUGCCGCGUGUGUGAAGAAGGCCUUCGGGUUGUAAAGCACUUUCAGUCAGGAGGAAAGGUUAGUAGUUAAUACCUGCUAGCUGUGACGUUACUGACAGAAGAAGCACCGGCUAACUCCGUGCCAGCAGCCGCGGUAAUACGGAGGGUGCGAGCGUUAAUCGGAAUUACUGGGCGUAAAGCGUACGCAGGCGGUUUGUUAAGCGAGAUGUGAAAGCCCCGGGCUCAACCUGGGAACUGCAUUUCGAACUGGCAAACUAGAGUGUGAUAGAGGGUGGUAGAAUUUCAGGUGUAGCGGUGAAAUGCGUAGAGAUCUGAAGGAAUACCGAUGGCGAAGGCAGCCACCUGGGUCAACACUGACGCUCAUGUACGAAAGCGUGGGGAGCAAACGGGAUUAGAUACCCCGGUAGUCCACGCCGUAAACGAUGUCUACUAGAAGCUCGGAGCCUCGGUUCUGUUUUUUCAAAGCUAACGCAUUAAGUAGACCCGCCUGGGGAGUACGGCCGCAAGGUUAAAACUCAAAUGAAUUGACGGGGGCCCGCACAAGCGGUGGAGCAUGUGGUUUAAUUCGAUGCAACGCGAGAACCUUUACCUACACCUUGUGACAUUACAGGAAGAAACUUACCAGAGAUGGGUUUGGGUGCCCUUCGGGGACCUCCUGAAUAAGGUGGCUGCCAUGGGCCUGCUCGUCCAGCUCGGGUUUGUGGAGAUGUUUGGAUUAAGUUCCCCGACAACGAGGCCGCACCCCGUAUACCUUAGUUGCCUAGCAGGUUAUGGCUGAGAAAACCUCUAGGGAACUUGCCGGUGAUUAAAACCGGAGAGGAUGGUGGGUGAACGACGCU